GCGAGGGUGGCGGAAUUGGUAGACGCGCUAGUUUCAGGUACUAGUGGGGUAAUCCUGUGGGGGUUCGAGUCCCCCCCCUCGCACCA
rnacentral:tRNA from 1 species